AAGGGAUCAAAUACUUCUUGGACUCACUGUAUAUUACUGCCCUCUGAAAAUAAUGCAACUCACAGACAUUAAUGUUUAAGCAGCUGCAACACAAGUGAUAUUUUUAUAAAGAGCAUCAAUUCUGUUUCUAACAUCUUCAGAGAGUUCUUUGUCAUGAGGUGGCAUGCUGUAUAUCCAUUGGCCAAUAUGUCACCAAAUUUAACAGCCCUGCUCCCCAUUCAAUCGCACCUAACAUCUAACGAGUCACAUUUAGACAUUUUGUCGCAGAUAUUUAGACUAAUUAAUGUCUAAAUAAAUAUAUAAUAAAUGUCUAAUAAAUAUAUACUGAUAUAUAAUCUGUACUUAAACUGUAUUUCUAUAGGGUUGUUUUAUUAAAAUAUAUAAUACAUUAUUUGCAGAAAUGUACAUACGCUCCACUUCAUAAUCUGAUUAUUGCAGAAUGUUUGAGUUUGUCAGAUCACUAAUCUGAUCUGAUUUAAAUAAGUUUUGAGUACCAUAUUUUUCAUACUAUAAAAUGCACUUAAAAUCCUUUAAUUAUUUUUUAUUAUUAUUUCCUUUAAUAAUAAAGAGCUCCUUAUAAUCCGGUGCUCUUUAUGCAGUAAAGACACUCCACUGAAGUACAGAGUUAUACAGUAGUUUCAGUUUAGUUUUCCAGCACCCAGACUGGAGAAAUAUUAGCAUUAGCCGCUAACUGUGCUAAGCGCUAGCUCAUUUACUGAUUAGAAGUGGGUAUAAUUGGCCUCUAGCCUGCUGCUAACCCUGGCUAGCACUGCUGGAGUACAAGCAUUAGCAUUAGCAUUAACUGCUAACCAUGCUAAGCGCUAACUCUUUCACAGCUGUAGUCUGCAUGUUUACAGUGUUAAAAUAAUCUCCGUGGGACGAACCGCUAGCUAAUAUCGCCCUAGCUUGACGAAAAACUCAGGGUUCCUCAGUGUACCUGCUCUGUCAGGAUGCGUUUACUAGUGCUAAUCGCCACUAGCUGUUAGCCGUUAAUGCUGAUGCUCUAGCUUUAGUGGAAAUCUGGAAAUCUAAGCUUACUGUAAAUAAACAGAAGUGCUUUACUCACCCAAAUAAACAAUUUUUUUUAAAGAGAAAUCUGUGUAGAUUAACAUCCAAACUCGUUUUACUUUAAAAGAAAAUAUUUUUUUAAGAAUUACAGUUUUGCUUAGCUUAGCUUUACAAAAACUGAAUUAAAAGGAAAACAUGGCAUCACCCCUGUUCCUUACUAGUGUUGCAUAAUGCACCUAAUAAUCUGGCGCUCAUUAUAGAUCGUAAAAUACGGUAAUCAGAUAAUAAGGAUAUUUGACUCAUUAGUUAACAUGAGUCAUAAACAGAAUAAGGCGUGAUGUAAACAUCGUUUAAACCUAUAUAAAAUGCUUUUUUAAACACAUGGUUAAAAAAUACAUGCAUUUUCAUGCUGGAAGAUGAGAAAAACGGAUAAUUUUGAGUUGUAUAAACCCACUCAAAUCCUCAGAUAAGCCCCACUUGGUCAUGUUUGCUGGGUAAUUUUGUAUUUUAUUUGCAGUAUAGAGUUAUAGAUAAUGGCUACAGCUUAACUCAUAUAUAACUCAUCACACAUUAAUAAGUAUUGAUUUUAUAAUGCUUUACUGAUUUGUCUUGAUAAAGGGUUCCGUUCUAGAAAGUACAGAAUACAGGAGUUGAGGACGAGACCCAAACCCAAAGCUUACGCAGAACCUUCUGCCCAGAUAACAGAGAACGUUAUAAGAACGUUCAGCAACGUUACAGAAUAAUGUUCCAGGAACAUUUUGAAAAGUGCGAUAAUGGUUAUAAUGGUUUGCAUCAAAAAGUUUUUAGAACUUUUCUCACAUAACGUUUCUAACUAGAUGAAUACAAACAUUAGGGAAAUUUUAGGGAAAAGUAUAAUUCUCAAAAUAAAGUAAUAUUGCAGAAAAGUUGUGAGAAUGUUUAAAAACGUUAAAUAAAAACCUUCUAAGAACAUCUAGGAAACUUGACACUUGACAUUUGAUUUUCUAAGAACAUUAUUUGGAAUGUUGAAGAAACAUAUUAAUGGUUUGCGUCAAAACGUUGUUAAAACAUUUCUCACAGAAUGUUUAAAAAUGUUCCCAGCUAGAUGAAUACAAACAUUAGAAAAACGUUAGUUAGAAAAGUAUCAUUCCCAAAACAAAGUAUCGUUGUAGCAACAUUUCGAGAACUUUUAAAAGCGGUAAAUAAAAACAUUCUAAGAACAUCCAGGAAACUUGACACUUGAGAUUUGACUUUCUAAGAACGUUACCUGGAACAAUGAGGAAACGUUAGUUAGAAAAAUAUAAUUCCCUAAAUAAAGUGACAUUGCUGCAAUGUUUUGAGAACUUUUAAAAGCAUUACAUAAAAACAUUCUAAGAACAUCCAGGAAAGAACGUUACCUGGAAUGUUGAAGAAACAUAAUAAUGGUUUGCAUCAAAACGUUGUUAAAACAUUUCUCACAGAAUGUUUAAAAACUCUCCGAGCUAGACGAAUACAAACAUUAGAGAAACAUUAGUUAGAAAAAUAUAAUUCCCAAAACAAAGUAAUAUUGCAGCAACAUUAAGAGAAUUUUUAAAAGCAUUAAAUAAAAACAUUCUAAGAACAUUCCGGAAAUUUGACACUUAACAUUUGACUUUCUAAGAAAGUUAACUGGAACAUUGAGGAAACGUUAUAACUCUCUAAAUGAAGUGACAUUGCUGCAAUGUUGGCAAAAUGUUUAAAAGCGUUAAAUAGAAACUUUCUUAAAACAUCCAGGAAACCUGACACUUAACUGGAACGUUGAGGAAACAUAAUAACAGUUUUCUUGCAUCACAUUAGAAGUUACUUUUCUCACAUAACUUUCCUAACUAGAUGAAUACAAACAUCAGGAAAAUGUUAGUUAGAAAAGUAUCAUUCCUAAAACAAAGUAACAUCGCAGCAACAUUUUGAUAACUUUUAAUAGCAUUAAAUAAAAACAUUCUAAGAACAUCCUGGAAACUCGAAACUUGACGUUUGACUUUCUAAGAACGUUAACUAGAACGUUGAGGAAACGUAAUAAUGGUUUGCAUCCCAAUGUUAUUAGAACAUUUCUCACAUAAGGUUCCUAACUAGACGAAUACAAACAUUAGGGAAACGUUAGUUAAAAAUAUAUAAUCCUAAUAAUUCUAUAAUCACUAAAAUGAAGUGACAUUGCUCCAAUGUUGGCAGAAUGUUUAAAAGCAUUAAAUAAAAACAUUCUAAGAACUUUCAGGAAACUUAACAUUGGACUUUCUAAGAACGUUAACUGGAACGUUGAGGAAACAUAAUAAUAGUUUGCGUCAAAGCGUUGUUAAAACUUUUUUCACAUAAGGUUCCUAACUAGAUGAAUACAAACAUUAGGGAAACGUUAGUUAGAAAAGUAUCAUUCCCAAAACAAUGUAAUAUUGCAGCAAUGUUUUGAGAAUGUUUAAAUUCUAAAAACUUCCAGGAAAGUCAACACUUAAAAUUGUACUUUCUAAGAACGUUAACUGGAACAUUGAGGAAACAUAAUAAUGGUUUGCAUCACAAGGUUACUAGAACAUUUCUCCCAUAAGGUUUCUAACUAGAUGAAAACAAACAUUAGGGAAACAUUAGUUAGAAAAGUAUCAUUUUCAAAAUGAAGUGACAUUGCUGCAAUGUUAGCAGAAUGUUUAAAAACGUUAAAUAAAAGCACUCUAAGAACAUCCAGGAAACUUGACACUUGACAUUGGACUUUCAAAGAAUGUUAACUGAAACAUUGAGGAAACGUUAGUUAGAAAAAUUUAAUUCCCUAAAUAAAGUAACAUUGCUGCAAUGUUGGCAGAAUGCCUAAAAACGUUUAAUAAAGGCAUUCUGAAAACUUCCAGAAAACUCGACACUCGAACCUUAACUGAAACGUUGAGGAAACAUAAUAAUGGUUUGCAUCAAAAUGUUGUUAAAACAUUUCUCACAUAACUUUUCUAACUAGAUGAAAACAAACAUUAGAGAAACGUUAGUUAGAAAAGUAUCAUUCCCAAAACAAAGUAACAUUGCUGCAAUGUUUUGAGAAUAUUUAAAAACGUUAAAAAAAAAUUUUUUUUAAACAUCCAGGAAUCUUGACACGUAACAUUUGGCUUUCUAAGAACUUUAACUGGAACAUUGAGGAAACGUUCUACUAACCAAAAGUUGUUAGCUGGGUGGGCGUGGUUUACAGAUCCUGCUACUUACUGGCUAAAGGUGCCAAAGUGUUCUCUAUGCAGAUUAUUAACCCUUUGAUUCUUCACAGCUGUAACACAAUCUUUAUAUUCGCUAUCGUUUAAUAAGAGUUUAUGGUUCGCUGUCGGCUGUUUAUACGGUGAAAAACGUUGAUCCGAUGUUUAUCGAGCAUC